rnacentral:rRNA from 1 species
AUUGAACGCUGGCGGCAGGCCUAACACAUGCAAGUCGAGCGGAGCGGCGGACGGGUGAGUAAUGUAUCGGAACGUGCCCAGUAGCGGGGGAUAACUACGCGAAAGCGUAGCUAAUACCGCAUACUAUUGGAGCGGCCGAUAUCGGAUUAGCUAGUUGGUGAGGUAACGGCUCACCAAGGCGACGAUCCGUAGCUGGUUUGAGAGGACGACCAGCCACACUGGGACUGAGACACGGCCCAGACUCCUACGGGAGGCAGCAGUGGGGAAUUUUGGACAAUGGGGGCAACCCUGAUCCAGCCAUCCCGCGUGUGCGAUGAAGGCCUUCGGGUUGUAAAGCACUUUUGGCAGGAAAGCGGUACCUGCAGAAUAAGCACCGGCUAACUACGUGCCAGCAGCCGCGGUAAUAC